rnacentral:rRNA from 1 species
UACGAAGGGGGCUAGCGUUGCUCGGAAUCACUGGGCGUAAAGGGUGCGUAGGCGGGUUUUUAAGUCAGGGGUGAAAUCCUGGAGCUCAACUCCAGAACUGCCUUUGAUACUGAAGAUCUUGAGUUCGGGAGAGGUGAGUGGAACUGCGAGUGUAGAGGUGAAAUUCGUAGAUAUUCGCAAGAACACCAGUGGCGAAGGCGGCUCACUGGCCCGAUACUGACGCUGAGGCACGAAAGCGUGGGGAACAAACAGG